CGACCCACAUGGGCCCAGGCCGUACCUCGUCGGUGACAGCCGAUCCUAAUUUCCACCUCACACACAGGCGCCACACGCAGCUAAAUAAAAAAAAAUAAACACAACAAACACACAUGCACACACACUGAGAGGUGUUUGGUGAAAUCAAACCAAUGUGGGACACGUGUCAUUGAGGCGUGUAUCCAACACGGUGUGAUUUAUGUCUUUGGUUGCGUGUCAGGUGUGCGGCACCUGCGCAUGACGUGCUACCAAUGAGUCCGUUCUCGACCCCGUUUGGCUGUCACUGAUGAACGGACGGACUGGGCCCGCCUGAAAUACUGACGGACUCGGCGGACUGACGAUGCCCACCUCUGCGAGAGGAGCGCCCUCCACCUGAAAAUUCAGAAUGAAAAGUGAGCGGACGGGGUCAACAAGCCGGAAGGUCCAUCAUGCGUCUUUCUGUCUGUCCAGUGCUACUGACCGAGCGAUGCUGACCGGUGUCCUCGUAGCACUCCUCUAUGUCCAUGGGCUGGACCUGAGUGUGGGAGAUGCAGGAGCAGUCCUGGUGAAGGAGGAGCGGGGGGGAGGCAAGCACAGAAGAUCGAUUUGAUGAAGACGCAAACACGUGCCCAUGCUCCGCAAAAGUCUUACCAAGAAAGACAUGGAGUCUUUG